rnacentral:rRNA from 1 species
UACGGAGGAUCCGAGCGUUAUCCGGAUUUAUUGGGUUUAAAGGGAGCGUAGGCGGAAGCUUAAGUCAGUUGUGAAAGUUUGCGGCUCAACCGUAAAAUUGCAGUUGAUACUGGGUUUCUUGAGUGCAGUAGAGGUAGGCGGAAUUCGUGGUGUAGCGGUGAAAUGCUUAGAUAUCACGAAGAACUCCGAUUGCGAAGGCAGCUCACUGGACUGCAACUGACACUGAGGCGCGAAAGCGUGGGGAGCAAACAGG